UACGUAGGGAGCGAGCGUUGUCCGGAUUCAUUGGGCGUAAAGAGCUCGUAGGCGGCUUGCUAAGUCGGAUGUGAAACCUCCAGGCUCAACCUGGAGUCGCCAUCCGAUACUGUCAUGGCUAGAGUCCGGUAGGGGCCCACGGAAUUCCUGGUGUAGCGGUGAAAUGCGCAGAUAUCAGGAGGAACACCGGUGGCGAAGGCGGUGGGCUGGGCCGGCACUGACGCUGAGGAGCGAAAGCGUGGGGAGCGAACAGG
rnacentral:rRNA from 1 species